AUGGGGAUCUUCGACCUGCUCGACCUGGCCGACGGCGCCUCGGGGGACGAGGCCGUCGCCCGCGUCGUCAACAAGGUCCUCCCGCCCGACGACCCCGACAAGCCCACCAAGGCCGCCAAGAAGGCCGCCGCCAAGGACGCCCCCGCCAACCCCCCGCCCCAGCACCACGACCAGCAGUACCCCCAAGAUGGUGGAAACUAUUACCCAAGGGAGGGCAACUUUGGUGGAGGCCGGGGCAGAGGCCAGGGCUACUAUGGUGGUGGUGGCGGCAGAGGAGGCCGUGGAAGGGGACGUGGUGCCGGAUCCAGUCGUGUCUUUGAGGAUGCCAACGGUCGUUUCUAUCACGACGGCUAUCAACGUGUCUACCUCACCAACGACCGUCCAUACUAUGCCAAUGGCAGUGGCAACCGUGACUACAACAACAACAAUGGCAGCGGAGGUGGCUACAACCAGGCCCCCGACUCUAACUACCGCAAUGGCGGUGAGGGCCAGAGGUACGGCAAUGAUGACAGGCAGUACAGGAGGGACAACAUGAAGUACGUUCCUAAGAGCAAGCCAUCCUCUGUGGCUGCUUCUGAUGUUGAUACCAAGUCUGAAGGCAAGGUGGAGCCUGCUGCUGAGGAAAAGCAGGCCGAAGCCCCUGCUCAGAAUGUUGUUGAAGCCGUCCCUGUUUCUGAAUCUGACAAGUCUACUGGGGAUGUGCAAAAAGAUGAUUCUAAGAAGGAAGAGGGAGAGGGUGCCGAAAAGAAGCCAGAGGGAGAGGGCGCUGAUAAGGAGGGAGAUGGCGCCGAGAAGAAGGAGAAGACCAAUAAGGGCAAGUGCAUCAGUGGCUCUGUCAAGAGGAAGCUCAAGAAGCAAAAGCCUAAGAAGGAAGAGUCUAAUGGGGAUGCUCCCAAUGAGACCACUGCUGAGAAAGAGCAGGAGGCUCCCAUUGAACAAGAGAAAAUUGAGAUGACCCUUGAAGAAUAUGAGAAGAUGCAAGAAAAGAAGAAGUCUCUGGAGGCCUCUAAACCUGAGGAGAGGAGGGUUGCUGCUGUAGAUUUUGAGGGUCUCCAGCUCUUGGAGAAGAAGAAGAUUGAGGAUGAUGCUAAAUUGAAGGCGGAAAAUGUUCGCAAGGCAAAGGAGGCUGCUGCAAAGGAAGCUAAACCUCGCAAGGUCAGCAUCCAGGAGUACCUGAAGAAUGAGGAUGGUUCAGCGUACGUGCCUCCGACACCACCGAGGCGCCCUCAAUAUGGCGGCGGCUACAGGGGAGGCCGUGGGAACGGUUCUUACAAUGGCCGCAGCAGCCGUGACAACAGCUCUGAGCGCCGGGUCUACAACUCUGGCCGCGGGGAGAAUGCCAUUGUGUUCCACAACGUCGAGGCCAACGCCAACGACAGUGGCGCCUCAAGGAGGGGUGAGGGCUACAAUGGCGAGCGCCAGCAAGGUGGCUACCAGCAAGGCGGGUACAAUGGCGGCAGGGGCAACGGCAGGUACCAGGAGCGCCAGGACGGAUACAAUGGCGAGCGCCGGGACCAGCAGCAGGGUGGCUACUACCAGGAGCGCAGGGAUGCCUACAAUGGCGACCGCCGGGAGCAAGGCGGGUACAACAAUGGUGGUUACCAGGAGCGCAGGGAUGGCUACAAUGGCGACCGCCGGCAGCAAGGCGGGUACAACGGUGGCCGUGGCAAUGGAGGUUACCAGGAGCAAGGCGGGAACAAUGUUGGCCGUGGCCAGGAGCGCCAGGAUGCCUACAACGGCGAGCGCAGGCAGCAAGGCGGGUACAACAAUGGCGGGCGGGGCAAUGGUGGUAACCAGGAGGGCCAGGAGGGUGGUGAGCGCAGGCAGCAAGGCGGGUACAACAAUGGCGGCGGGUACCAGCAGGGCGGCAACUACAGGCAGUGGCAAGGUCCGAGGCCAAAGCAGGACAAGGAGUUCACCCCGGCCGACUUCCCGGCUCUAGGUGGCGCAUCUCAGGCGCAGUCGCAGGCCCAGGCCUAG
rnacentral:rRNA from 1 species